rnacentral:rRNA from 1 species
GACGAACGCUGGCGGCGUGCUUAACACAUGCAAGUCGAACGGAAAGUCCCUGCUUUUGUGGGGUGCUCGAUUGGCGAACUUGUGAGUAACACGUGAUUAACCUGCCCUUUUCUUUGUGAUAACUUCAGGAAACUUGUUCUAAUACCUGAUAGGAUCUCCUUCUGCAUUGUGGUGUUUGGAAAUUUUCGGCGGUUGGGGAUGGACUCGCGGCUUAUCAGCUUUUUUGUGGGGUAGUUGCUUACCAAGGCUUUGACGGGUAGCCGGCCUGAGAGGGUUACAGGCCAAAUUGGGACUGAGAGACGGCCCAGAAUACUACGGGAGGCAGCAGUGGGGAAUAUUGCACAAUGGGCGGAAGCAUGAUGCAGCAACGCAGCGUGCGGGAUGACGGCCUUCGGGUUGUAAACAGAAUUCGAAUGUGACGAAGAGUGAGUGACGGUAAUGGGUAAAGAAGCAACGGCUAACUACGUG